UGGGGGCUCCGUCCAGCCGCGGGCGGCGCCGGUUGGAGCUCCGACCCCGGCAACUCUACCCCUGGCUGCGCGGCUCCAAAUCCAGCGACGCUCCGCGAUGUUGUGUGUCGGCGGCCACAGCGUUCCGGAGCUUGCCGCACGGUGACCCGGUAAGGCAUUGCCCGCUCCCCGCUGGUACCCCGACGCCGCCGACUCCCAACAUUCACGGAGCUGGGGCGUCCGGCCGCGGGCCGCGCUGGAUUUGGAGCGCCUCGCAGCCAGGGGUAGAGUUGCCGGGGUCGGAGCUACAACCGGCGUCGCCCACAGCCCCACCGGCCACAGCGCUGCGGAGCUUACUGCACGGCGACCCGGUAAGGCAUUGACCGCUCCCCGCCUCUCCGACCAGAUGUUUAAGCGUCUCCCGGUCUCCGGGGAGGAGGCAGCCGCUACAGUAGUACAGACCUGGGUUGACCGUGGGUCGUUUUGGGUCAGGUUUGGCGCCAAACGCGAGCUUUGGUGCGCAGACGACAUCUGGAAAAAAUGGCCGGUUUUCGGAGCUUUUCGGUUUCUGGAACACCGGAUAAAAG